GGACACCCCCCGCCAUAUAACUAACUUCUAUACAAUACCAAAAGUGACUGGAUAUGACACGGAAAGCCCCGAAACAAACUGGAGCUCACCAAAAGCAGCUGGGUAUCCUGGCUCCUACUUGUGCGGUGUAUGAGCUGAGGUACCUGUGCCUGCAGCAUGAAAUGCAGGUCCCCCGUGGGGGACGUCAGUACGAAAUAUGUACUAAG
rnacentral:lncRNA from 1 species